rnacentral:rRNA from 1 species
CACCAGCGCCACAAGUGGGGGCCACUAUUAUUGGGCCUAAAGCGUCCGUAGCAGGUUUGUCAAGUCCUUUGUGAAAUCGUUGUGCUUAACGCAACGGCGCGCAGGGGAUACUGGCUUACUAGAGACCGGGAGGAGUUAGGGGUAUUCGACGGGGAGCGGUAAAAUGUUAUAAUCCGUCGAGGACCACCUGUGGCGAAGGCGCCUAACUAGAACGGAUCUGACUGUGAGGGACGAAAGCCAGGGGAGCAAUCCGG